UACGGGGGGGGCAAGCGUUGUUCGGAAUUACUGGGCGUAAAGGGCUCGUAGGCGGCCAACUAAGUCAGACGUGAAAUCCCUCGGCUUAACCGGGGAACUGCGUCUGAUACUGGAUGGCUUGAGGUUGGGAGAGGGAUGCGGAAUUCCAGGUGUAGCGGUGAAAUGCGUAGAUAUCUGGAGGAACACCGGUGGCGAAGGCAGUCACCUGGCAUCAUACUGACGCUGAGGCGCGAAAGCGUGGGGAGCAAACAGG
rnacentral:rRNA from 1 species